UACGGAGGGGGCUAGCGUUGCUCGGAAUCACUGGGCGUAAAGGGUGCGUAGGCGGGUCUUUAAGUCAGGGGUGAAAUCCUGGAGCUCAACUCCAGAACUGCCUUUGAUACUGAAGAUCUUGAGUUCGGGAGAGGUGAGUGGAACUGCGAGUGUAGAGGUGAAAUUCGUAGAUAUUCGCAAGAACACCAGUGGCGAAGGCGGCUCACUGGCCCGAUACUGACGCUGAGGCACGAAAGCUAGGGGAGCAAACGGG
rnacentral:rRNA from 1 species